rnacentral:rRNA from 1 species
AACGAACGCUGGCGGCAUGCCUAACACAUGCAAGUCGAACGAGACCUUCGGGUCUAGUGGCGCACGGGUGCGUAACGCGUGGGAACCUGCCCUUAGGUUCGGAAUAACUCCCCGAAAGGGGUGCUAAUACCGGAUAAUGUCUUCGGACCAAAGAUUUAUCGCCUUUGGAUGGGCCCGCGUUGGAUUAGCUAGUUGGUAGGGUAAAAGCCUACCAAGGCGACGAUUCAUAGCUGGUCUGAGAGGAUGAUCAGCCACACUGGGACUGAGACACGGCCCAGUCUCCUACGGGAGGCAGCAGUGGGGAAUAUUGGACAAUGGGCGAAAGCCUGAUCCAGCAAUGCCGCGUGAGUGAUGAAGGCCUUAGGGUUGUAAAGCUCUUUUACCCGGGAUGAUAAUGACAGUACCGGGAGAAUAAGCUCCGGCUAACUCCGUG